rnacentral:rRNA from 1 species
UACGGGGGGGGCAAGCGUUGUUCGGAAUUACUGGGCGUAAAGGGCGUGCAGGCGGUCUGUUAAGUCUGGCGUGAAAGCUCUCGGCUAAACCGGGAGAGGUCGUUGGAUACUGACGGACUAGAGGACGGUAGAGGCGUGUGGAAUUCCGGGUGUAGUGGUGAAAUGCGUAGAGAUCCGGAGGAACACCAGUGGCGAAGGCGACACGCUGGGCCGUACCUGACGCUAAGACGCGACAGCAUGGGGAGCGAACGGG